UACGUAGGGGGCAAGCGUUGUCCGGAUUUAUUGGGCGUAAAGCGCUCGCAGGUGGUUCGGUGCGUCGGGCGUGAAAGACCCCGGCUCAACUGGGGAGGGUCGUGCGAUACUGUCGAACUGGAGGCCAGUAGGGGGAUGCGGAAUUCCGGGUGUAGUGGUGGAAUGCGUAGAGAUCCGGAGGAACACCAGCGGCGAAGGCGGCAUCCUGGACUGGUACUGACACUCAUGAGCGAAAGCGUGGGGAGCGAUCCGG
rnacentral:rRNA from 1 species